GUUUUGUAGCCUUGGAGACAGAGUGGGAGGUAGGGAGAGAACAGGGCUGGAGACACAGAGUGGGAGGUAUGGAGAGAACAGGGCUGGAGACACAGAGUGGGAGGUAGGGAGAGAACAGGGCUGGAGACACAGAGUGGGAGGUAGGGAGAGAACAGGGCUGGGGACACAGAGUGGGAGGUAGGGAGAGAACAGGGCUGGAGACACAGAGUGGGAGGUAGGGAGAGAACAGGGCUGGGGUGACAGAGUGGGAAAGAUACUAAAAUGAAUAGGAAUAGAAGUGUCUGUAUAAACUGUGGAGUACCACAAGGAAGUGUUCUCUGACCCC
ensembl:lncRNA